rnacentral:rRNA from 1 species
AGAGUUUGAUCAUGGCUCAGAUUGAACGCUGGCGGCAGGCCUAACACAUGCAAGUCGAGCGGUUGAGGUAGCUUGCUACCGAUGCAGCGGCGGACGGGUGAGUAAUACAUGGGAAUCUGCCUGGUAGUGGGGGACAACGUUUCGAAAGGAACGCUAAUACCGCAUACGCCCUACGGGGGAAAGGGGGGGAUCUUCGGACCUCUCGCUAUCAGAUGAGCCCAUGUCGGAUUAGCUUGUUGGUGAGGUAAAGGCUCACCAAGGCGACGAUCCGUAACUGGUCUGAGAGGACGAUCAGUCACACUGGAACUGAGACACGGUCCAGACUCCUACGGGAGGCAGCAGUGGGGAAUAUUGGACAAUGGGCGCAAGCCUGAUCCAGCCAUGCCGCGUGUGUGAAGAAGGCCUUAGGGUUGUAAAGCACUUUCAGUGGGGAGAAAGGUCAUUCACCUAAUACGUGAGUGAAUUGAUGUUACCCACAGAAGAAGCACCGGCUAACUCCGUGCCAGCAGCCGCGGUAAUACGGAGGGUGCAAGCGUUAAUCGGAAUUACUGGGCGUAAAGCGCACGUAGGUGGUUUUGUUUAAGCUAGCUGUGAAAUCCCCGGGCUCAACCCUGGGCACUGCAGUUAGAACUGGCAAGCUAGAGUAGGGUAGAGGGGUGUGGAAUUCCAGGUGUAGCGGUGAAAUGCGUAGAUAUCUGGAGGAACAUCUGUGGCGAAGGCGACACCCUGGACUCAUACUGACACUGAGGUGCGAAAGCGUGGGGAGCUACAGGAUUACAUACCCUGGUAGCCCACGCCGUAUCGAUGCCACUAGCCGUUGGGAGCCCUGAGCUCUU